UACGAAGGCCCCGAGCGUUAUCCGGAUUUAUUGGGCGUAAAGCGUUAAAAGGCGGCUUUGUAGGUCAUUGGUCAAAUGCUGCGGCUCAACCGCAGCACUGCUGGUGAAACCACAAGGCUUGAGGUCGGAAGAGGCAAGCGGAACUACCGGUGUAGCGGUAAAAUGCGUUCAUAUCGGGAGGAACACCAGUGGCGAAGGCGACUUCCUGGCCUGUUCUUGACGCUGAGGCGCGAAAGCUAGGGUAGCAAACGGG
rnacentral:rRNA from 1 species